AGUUCUGAAACUUUCCCGCUGAAAAUCGGUGCUCUGCCUUGACCUGCUGGCAUACCAGACACUGCGCCACAUAGCGUCCAAUAUCAACUUUCAUUCCCGGCCACCAGUAAUGUCGUUUCAAAUCUUGAUUCAUCUUGGUGCCGCCCGGGUAGAUGCUAUAAGGCGACCAAUGCGCUUCUUUCAGAAUCAGCUUCCGAAUCUCUUCAUUGUCUGGUACACACCAUCGGUUCCGAAAUCGAAGCACACCCCCGGCGUCUACACUGAAAUCGCCGCUAUCUCCGCUCUUGAU
rnacentral:lncRNA from 1 species